rnacentral:lncRNA from 1 species
AGUCUCCAGGGUGCUAGGAUUACAAGCUUGAGCCACCAAGCUCUGUAUAUAUACAAACAAGUAUUGGGUGGGCUUUAGAAACUGCUUGGUCUCAGUAUUCCCUACUCUUAAGAAUACCCAAAUGCUGACUCUAACAUUUUAUGUUUAGAGUUGUUUAAAGUACAAUUUUAAUGUAGUUUAUUGUUAUUUUGUGUUAAUGUGUGUGAUGUGUGUGCCUGGGAGGGGACAGACAUGUUACAGCAUGAGUGUGGAAAUCAGAGAACAGCUCUGUGGAGUCAGUUCUCUUCUCCCACCUCUUCAUGGCUUCCUUCUGGGGAUGGAACUUAGGUCAACAGCCUUUGUGGACAGCACAGUACCUACUAUGGCUUCCAAAGUGGCUUCUUAAAUCACAAGAGUAUAUAUUCCUGAAAAAAAUUACAUAAGGGGCUGGAGAGAUGGCUCAGUGUGUAAAGUAUGUGCUACACAUGAAGUCCGGAGUUCAGAUCCGUAGCACCCUUUGCCAGGAGGAAGAGACAGGGGAUGCCUGAAGCAAGCCAGCUGGCUAGCCUAGCAGAAUCAUCACGCUAUGGGUUCAAUUGAGAGAACCUGUCUCAGCAUAUAAAGUGGAGAACAAUGAAAGACAUCUGCUUUGGGCCUCCACACUCUUGAAUGUGUGCACCUGCAACCCCACACUUGUGCACCCCCGCACAGACACACAUGCAUACAUAUAAACAACUAUAAAUUUUGAAUGCCUUGCAGUACAAGAGUAAGUACAGAGAAAGCCCUCUGUCUCGUCUCUCCUCAUUGCCCUCAGUUCUUCAGGCUGAGCCAUCUCUCCAGCUCCACACACUUUUUU